rnacentral:rRNA from 1 species
UACGUAGGGGGCAAGCGUUGUCCGGAAUCAUUGGGUGUAAAGCGCGCGUAGGCGGCCCGGUAAGUCCGUUGUGAAAGUCAAAGGCUCAACCUUUGAACGCCGAUGGAUACUGCCGGGCUAGAGUCCGGAAGAGGCGAGUGGGAUUCCUGGUGUAGCGGUGGAAUGCGCAGAUAUCAGGAGGAACACCGAUAGCGAAGGCAGCUCGCUGGGACGGUACUGACGCUGAGGCGCGAAAGCGUGGGGAGUGAACAGG